rnacentral:tRNA from 1 species
ACUGUAGUUUAGUGGUAAAGUGUUUGCUUAGCAUGCAAGAGGCCCUGGGUUCAAUUCUAAGCACAGUA